GAUGCCAAGGCGCCCGCACUCUAGGGGGCGCCACUAGAAGGACCGAUUCUGCACAGCAGCUAAACUAGUGCAACUAGUUUGAAAUCUUUCUCCUGCUCACUAAAAGUACCUAACUUUUAAAGUAAAAUUUUAAUGAGUUAACUUUUACUUUUAUUUACUUAACAUUUUACAUUUUAUUUACUUAAAAUAUUCUUGAGUGCAUUAUUUUGGUACCUCUGGUUGUUAAACUUUAUAAAAGGUGAUUUAUCAGCAGGACUGAAUGUUAAAUCACAUCAAAACAUGGAACAAGUCAGUGAGUUAGCUCAUUACUUAGCAGAACAUAUCGUCAUUACUGGAGUUCCAGAUAGCAUUCAGUUUCACAGUCAUACGUCUUCAGCAAAGCUUAGUUACCAAGUUAGUCUUGAAGCUAAACACUUAGCUUCAAUCUAAAUAGCAGGCUAAGUAUUCAGUCAGCUAAAGCUAACGCUGUAUAGUUAGCUUGCUAAUUAAAUGGGGAAAAUGAGUGAAAUUGAAAAAUGAUUCUGUUUCAUUUUUGAUUUUCCGAACGGCAGCCCGUAUUUAUCGAGUUGGAGACCACACUACUGUCUGCAAACAGAAACGGAUCCACCAGAACUGGACCAGAACAGGUCGCUCCAGAUAGACGGGUCAGAACCUGGUGGAGGUGGUAUCAUGCUGUAGGAGAUAAUGUCUUGGCUCGCUUUGGACCCAUUGGACCCACCUGAGCCUCAUCUGACCCCCGCUGACCACCUUCAGAGCUCCUGGACCAGAAUCUCUGGGGAACGGUUCUGACAGCUUGUUGGAUCCAGACCCAGAAGAACUCAGGUGGUUCUGGAGGUGAAACGGGCUCCACCUACAAGCUGUACCUAAUAAAGUGGCCAGCUGUGAAGCUGCAGAGAGAGCAUCUUUAGCUUCCAGGAGGUUUCUGAACUCAUGGAUCCCCUCACGAUGCAUCAGAAUGUUCUGAAGCGGUUCUGCUGCAGCGACCCGAUCCACUCUCCUCCUGCAGCAGAACCUGAGCCGCAGCAGCUAAUCAGCAGCAGCAAGCAGGGACACGGCAGCGUCCCGACCCGGUUCUGCUGCUGGUUCUGCUGCAGCGGCAGGAAAGGUGACCUCUCGCACAGAAAGCGCCAGAACAGAGAGAGACAGAGAGAGAGAGACAGAGAGAGAGAGAGACAGAGAGAGAGAGAGAGAGCGCUCACUAACCCGGCGGCAGCAUCGUCCAUGCUCCAGUCCUCACACUCC